UGUAUAACAAAGCCAAUUUUACCACAGUUGAUACUGUUAAAAGAAAAACUUCGGCUGAAUUCAAUUUAAAAGAGCUUAAUUGAGCAAAGAAUGAAUCACAAAUUGUGCAGCCUGCUGAGCCAGAGCAGGCUCAGAGACUCCAGUGCAGUCACGUGGUGGAAGAUAAUUUAUGGACAGAAAAAAGAAAGUGAUGGACAGAAAAAGGAAAAGUGACGUACAGAAAAUGGAAGUGAGGAACAGAAACAGCUGGAUUGGUUAUAGCUCAGCAUUUUCCCUUUUUGAACACGGUUCGAACAGUUGGCCACAUUUGAUUGGCCAAAAGUCGAGGAUUGGCAUGAGUGCAGGCUAUAGUGUGUUUACACGUCCACUUGUUGUAGUCCACGAUGUACAGAGAAACCUUUAGGCCAAAUUUAAAAUAUGUAAGGAGGCAGCUUUAGGCUAAACUUGAUUUAACAAUGUAAACAAGAGUUAACUUCCUAUGACAUAUACUUCAAGUCACAGUUUGAGAACCCACCGAGGACAUUGAGGACUUACAGUACCCCCUUAAGGCUUCCCCACCUCUUGUCAUUGGCUAUCCCGUGUCACUAAACAGAAAGGAGUUGCUAAGUCAAGAAUGAAGAUCUUACUGAGUUUGCUAGAGCAAAGCUGCUCAUCCCUGCUUGCAUGUCUUUAGUAUUGAGGGUAAAGGCCUUAGUGCCCUGGAAGGUGAACUUUAGAGGUUGUUAAAGGGUCAUGGAAAAAAGAGGAGGUGGGGUCUUGGAUUGUGGUUGCAGAGCGCUAUAAACUGACCGUAACAGAUGGUAUUCUUUUAAACAGGUAUAAAAGUUUGGUCACAGGGACCCGAGCAAGAGGGGUCAUUGCUGUCCUCUGGGUCCUUGCCUUUGGCAUCGGACUGACUCCAUUCCUGGGGUGGAACAGUAAAGACAGUGCCACCAACAACUGCACAGAACCCUGGGAUGGAACCACGAAUGAAAGCUGCUGCCUUGUGAAGUGUCUCUUUGAGAAUGUGGUCCCCAUGAGCUACAUGGUAUAUUUCAAUUUCUUUGGGUGUGUUCUGCCCCCACUGCUUAUAAUGCUGGUGAUCUACAUCAAGAUCUUCAUGGUGGCCUGCAGGCAGCUUCAGCGCACUGAGCUGAUGGACCACUCGAGGACCACCCUCCAGCGGGAGAUCCAUGCAGCCAAGUCACUGGCCAUGAUUGUGGGGAUUUUUGCCCUGUGCUGGCUACCUGUGCAUGCUGUUAACUGUGUCACUCUUUUCCAGCCAGCUCAGGGUAAAAAUAAGCCCAAGUGGGCAAUGAAUAUGGCCAUUCUUCUGUCACAUGCCAAUUCAGUUGUCAAUCCCAUUGUCUAUGCUUACCGGAACCGAGACUUCCGCUACACUUUUCACAAAAUUAUCUCCAGGUAUCUUCUCUGCCAAGCAGAUGUCAAGAGUGGGAAUGGUCAGGCUGGGGUACAGCCUGCUCUCGGUGUGGGCCUAUGAUCUAGGCUCUCGCCUCUUCCAGGAGAAGAUACAAAUCCACAAGAAACAAAGAGGACACGGCUGGCUGAUUCUCAUUGUGAAAGAUAGCUACAUCUCACAAGGAAAUGGACUGCCUCUCUUGAGCACUUCCCUGGAGCUACCACGUAUCUAGCUAAUAUGUAUGUGUCAGUAGUAGGCUCCAAGGAUUGACAAAUAUAUUUAUGAUCUAUUCAGCUGCUUUUACUGUGUGGAUGAUGCCAACAGCUUGAAUGGAUUCUAACAGACUCUUUUGUUUUUAAAAGUCUGCCUUGUUUAUGGUGGAAAAUUACUGAAACUAUUUUACUGUGAAACACUGUGAACUAUUAUAAUGCAAAUACUUUUUAACUUAGAGGCAAUGGAAAAAUAAAAGUUGACUGUACU
rnacentral:sRNA from 1 species